GCGCUCCAUCUCCUACACAAGAAGAGCUGGCACAGAAACCCUAUCAAGAGCUCUAGAGAACACAAAAUCGAAAUAAUUAACCUCAAACUCUAUCUCAUACACAAAUUUCUUCCUGAAGGGAGAAAGACUGGUGUACAUUGAUGCCAAAAACAUAAGAGAAUCAUAGUUCCUGCAAUGCCAACAUGGCUGCAUCAGCUCCUUCCCCAACACACAACGCCUUAGCAUUUGAAUCCAAGAAACCAUUCCCAAUCACUUCCAUAAACACAUUCUUUGUCAAAUUUUUGUUCUCAAUGCACAAAGCAACAAACAUCCCAAACAAAGGAAUUUAUAUGGGAUUGGGAAGCAGGGUGAAAUUGAAAUACAGAUUCAAGCUAAAGAGCUCAGGCUUUCGAAUCUGGGUGGCAA